UUAUAUUCUGUAGCAAGGUUAACCGAAUAGGGGAGCCGGAGGGAAACCGAGUCUUAAUUGGGCGUUAAGUUGCAGGGUAUAGACCCGAAACCCGGUGAUCUAGCCAUGGGCAGGUUGAAGGUUGGGUAACACUAACUGGAGGACCGAACCGACUAAUGUUGAAAAAUUAGCGGAUGACCUGUGGCUGGGGGUGAAAGGCCAAUCAAACCGGGAGAUAGCUGGUUCUCCCCGAAAGCUAUUUAGGUAGCGCCUCGUGAAUUCAUCUCCGGGGGUAGAGCACUGUUUCGGCUAGGGGGCCAUCCCGGCUUACCAACCCGAUGCAAACUGCGAAUACCGGAGAAUGUUAUCACGGGAGACACACGGCGGGUGCUAACGUCCGUCGUGAAGAGGGAAACAACCCAGACCGCCAGCUAAGGUCCCAAAGUCAUGGUUAAGUGGGAAACGAUGUGGGAAGGCCCAGACAGCCAGGAUGUUGGCUUAGAAGCAGCCAUCAUUUAAAGAAAGCGUAAUAGCUCACUGGUCGAGUCGGCCUGCGCGGAAGAUGUAACGGGGCUAAACCAU
rnacentral:rRNA from 2 species